GAUGAACGCUGGCGGCGUGCCUAAUACAUGCAGGUCGAGCGAACAGACGAGGAGCUUGCUCCUCUGACGUUAGCGGCGGACGGGUGAGUAACACGUGGAUAACCUACCUAUAAGACUGGGAUAACUUCGGGAAACCGGAGCUAAUACCGGAUAAUAUAUUGAACCGCAUGGUUCAAUAGUGAAAGACGGUUUUGCUGUCCCUUAUAGAUGGAUCCGCGCCGCAUUAGCUAGUUGGUAAGGUAACGGCUUACCAAGGCAACGAUGCGUAGCCGACCUGAGAGGGUGAUCGGCCACACUGGAACUGAGACACGGUCCAGACUCCUACGGGAGGCAGCAGUAGGGAAUCUUCCGCAAUGGGCGAAAGCCUGACGGAGCAACGCCGCGUGAGUGAUGAAGGUCUUCGGAUCGUAAAACUCUGUUAUUAGGGAAGAACAAAUGUGUAAGUAACUAUGCACGUCUUGACGGUACCUAAUCAGAAAGCCACGGCUAACUACGUG
rnacentral:rRNA from 1 species